rnacentral:rRNA from 1 species
GACGAACGCUGGCGGCGUGCCUAAUACAUGCAAGUCGAACGCUUCUUUCCUCCCGAGUGCUUGCACUCAAUUGGAAAGAGGAGUGGCGGACGGGUGAGUAACACGUGGGUAACCUACCCAUCAGAGGGGGAUAACACUUGGAAACAAGUGCUAAUACCGCAUAACAGUUUAUGCCGCAUGGCAUAAGAGUGAAAGGCGCUUUCGGGUGUCGCUGAUGGAUGGACCCGCGGUGCAUUAGCUAGUUGGUGAGGUAACGGCUCACCAAGGCCACGAUGCAUAGCCGACCUGAGAGGGUGAUCGGCCACACUGGGACUGAGACACGGCCCAGACUCCUACGGGAGGCAGCAGUAGGGAAUCUUCGGCAAUGGACGAAAGUCUGACCGAGCAACGCCGCGUGAGUGAAGAAGGUUUUCGGAUCGUAAAACUCUGUUGUUAGAGAAGAACAAGGACGUUAGUAACUGAACGUCCCCUGACGGUAUCUAACCAGAAAGCCACGGCUAACUACGUG